rnacentral:lncRNA from 1 species
GAGUCUGGCAGCUGGAUUGGGGUGAAGGGCAGGGGCAUGGUUUGCUCUUACUGCCCCCUCCUCUCCCCAUCCUGGCACUCUUUCUCUGGAGUAGAUGCAGGAGGAGAGAGAGGAGGACAGGUUUUCUUCACAUCCUGAUUGCAGUUGAUUCUUUCCUGGCCAGCACUGCCAAGCCACCAGCUACAGCCAGUUGACAUUUCAGAGCGACAAGAAAACUCCAACCAGGCACCCUAUUACACUGGAACAUCCUUUUGUAAAGGGGUCCUCAGGGGCCAUUUAUGAAGAAGCCAGGACAUCAUCCCAGGCCUCCCGAGUCAAGGCACG